UAAUUAAUGUACCAACCCCCCUCCCCCUCUCUCCAACCCGUUGUUUUUUUAGGAGACUCGAACCUAUUCUUCUUCUUCUUCUUCUUCUAUUAAUGUUACUUUCCCUCCUUCUUCAAAACCCUAGCCCCUCUUCUAAAUUUCCCAAUUCUGUUCAAGCAAGUAUUAUUUUUCCUUUAAUUCGAGUAAAUGUUGCAAUAUGUAGAGCUUAGAAGUAAGAUUAAAGUAAUCUUCUUUAUUUAUUUCUGUCCAUUGUUCAUGAAAUGUCUCAAUCUUCUAGUUCUUCAUACGGAUGUGCCGACGUGAAAUUGUAGCUCUACAUCUCACGUCCAAGUCUCCUGAGAAUCCUGGAAGACGUUUUUUUAGAAUAAGGGGUCAUAUGGUUAUUAGGAAUGGGAAGACGAUAAAUUUUCUUUAAGAGCUUUAGUUGUCAUCAAUAAUUGGAAGAGGGAAAAGGAGGCUCUUGUGAAGAAAACAGAUUUUCUGCAGAAAAAAUAAGAUGAUCUUCAUAUUGAAAUCAAUGUAUUAACGGGAAAAGUUGCUAUCUUUGAAGGUUCUUCUAUUGAUCAUGAUAGAGUAGUUGCAAAAUUGAAGGAAAAACUAUUUUGGCAGUGGAUUUUCAUUCUUAUGUUGUUGGGUUGCUUUAUUGGGAUAUUCAGAUUGAAACCAAUGUAUUAAAUUCAUUGUUGUUGUUCAAUUGAUUGUAAUGGCAUUGGGAUGUUUGACAAAAUGUAAAGUAUGUAAUGUAUUUUCUUAUGGUAAAAGAUAUUAGCAAUGUUGUUUGAGCC